rnacentral:misc_RNA from 1 species
GAUGAAGAACGCAGUGAACUGCGAUAAGUAAUGUGAAUUGCAGAAUUCGGUGAAUCAUCGAGUCUUUGAACGCACAUUGCGCCCCCUGGCAUUCCGGGGGGCAUGCCUGUCCGAGCGUCAUUGCUGCCCUUCAAGCCCGGCUUGUGUGUUGGGUCGUCGUCCCCCCCGGGGGACGGGCCCGAAAGGCAGCGGCGGCACCGCGUCCGGUCCUCGAGCGUAUGGGGCUUUGUCACCCGCUCGAUUAGGGCCGGCCGGGCGCCAGCCGGCGUCUCCAACCUUCUAUUUUACCAGGUUGACCUCGGAUCAGGUAGGGAUACCCGCUGAACUUAAGCAUAUCAAUAAGCGGAGGA